UACGUAGGGUCCGAGCGUUGUCCGGAAUUAUUGGGCGUAAAGGGCUCGUAGGCGGUUUGUCACGUCGGGAGUGAAAACUCAGGGCUCAACCCUGAGCGUGCUUCCGAUACGGGCAGACUAGAGGUAUGCAGGGGGAGAACGGAAUUCCUGGUGUAGCGGUGGAAUGCGCAGAUAUCAGGAGGAACACCGGUGGCGAAGGCGGAUCUCUGGGCCUUACCUGACGCUGAGGCGCGAAAGCUAGGGGAGCGAACAGG
rnacentral:rRNA from 1 species